rnacentral:rRNA from 1 species
GGAGUGAACGCUGGCGGUAGGCCUAACACAUGCAAGUCGAACGGCAGCACAGUAGGAGCUUGCUCUUACGGGUGGCGAGUGGCGGACGGGUGAGGAAUACAUCGGAAUCUACCUUUUGGUGGGGGAUAACGUAGGGAAACUUACGCUAAUACCGCAUACGCCCUUCGGGGGAAAGCCGGGGACCAGCAAUGGCCUGGUGCUGAUAGAUGAGCCGAUGUCGGAUUAGCUAGUUGGUGAGGUAAUGGCUCACCAAGGCGACGAUCCGUAGCUGGUCUGAGAGGAUGAUCAGCCACACGUGGAACUGAGACACGGUCCAGACUCCGUAACGGGAGGCAG